rnacentral:rRNA from 1 species
CCUGGCUCACGAUGAGCGCUAGCUACAGGCUUAACACAUGCAAGUCGAGGGGCAGCAUGGUCUUAGCUUGCUAAGGCCGAUGGCGACCGGCGCACGGGUGAGUAACACGUAUCCAACCUGCCGUCUACUCUUGGACAGCCUUCUGAAAGGAAGAUUAAUACAAGAUGGCAUCAUGAGUCCGCAUGUUCACAUGAUUAAAGGUAUUCCGGUAGACGAUGGGGAUGCGUUCCAUUAGAUAGUAGGCGGGGUAACGGCCCACCUAGUCUUCGAUGGAUAGGGGUUCUGAGAGGAAGGUCCCCCACAUUGGAACUGAGACACGGUCCAAACUCCUACGGGAGGCAGCAGUGAGGAAUAUUGGUCAAUGGGCGAGAGCCUGAACCAGCCAAGUAGCGUGAAGGAUGACUGCCCUAUGGGUUGUAAACUUCUUUUAUAAAGGAAUAAAGUCGGGUAUGGAUACCCGUUUGCAUGUACUUUAUGAAUAAGGAUCGGCUAACUCCGUGCCAGCAGCCGCGGUAAUACGGAGGAUCCGAGCGUUAUCCGGAUUUAUUGGGUUUAAAGGGAGCGUAGAUGGAUGUUUAAGUCAGUUGUGAAAGUUUGCGGCUCAACCAUAAAAUUGCAGUUGAUACUGGAUAUCUUGAGUGCAGUUGAGGCAGGCGGAAUUCGUGGUGUAGCGGUGAAAUGCUUAGAUAUCACGAAGAACUCCGAUUGCGAAGGCAGCCUGCUAAGCUGCAACUGACAUUGAGGCUCGAAAGUGUGGGUAUCAAACAGGAUUAGAUACCCUGGUAGUCCACACGGUAAACGAUGAAUACUCGCUGUUUGCGAUAUACAGCAAGCGGCCAAGCGAAAGCGUUAAGUAUUCCACCUGGGGAGUACGCCGGCAACGGUGAAACUCAAAGGAAUUGACGGGGGCCCGCACAAGCGGAGGAACAUGUGGUUUAAUUCGAUGAUACGCGAGGAACCUUACCCGGGCUUAAAUUGCAGAUGAAUUACGGUGAAAGCCGUAAGCCGCAAGGCAUCUGUGAAGGUGCUGCAUGGUUGUCGUCAGCUCGUGCCGUGAGGUGUCGGCUUAAGUGCCAUAACGAGCGCAACCCUUGUUGUCAGUUACUAACAGGUUCCGCUGAGGACUCUGACAAGACUGCCAUCGUAAGAUGUGAGGAAGGUGGGGAUGACGUCAAAUCAGCACGGCCCUUACGUCCGGGGCUACACACGUGUUACAAUGGGGGGUACAGAGGGCCGCUACCACGCGAGUGGAUGCCAAUCCCAAAAACCUCUCUCAGUUCGGACUGGAGUCUGCAACCCGACUCCACGAAGCUGGAUUCGCUAGUAAUCGCGCAUCAGCCACGGCGCGGUGAAUACGUUCCCGGGCCUUGUACACACCGCCC